UUUGGUAUUGCAUUGCCAGAAAACUAGGUUUGGUAAGCCUCCAGUGAAUGAGUGGUGAGUCAAUACUGUGUCCUCACAGGUGUAGCAUAACCAACAUGUGUGGUAAGUGUGAAAAUGCUCAUGCAGAGUGGAUCUUUUAUUUUUUUUUUGGCCUGUGGGGACUCUGGCUACAGUCACAUUGAUUUUCUCAGAGGAAGUCAGCUGCUGUAAGUGGAAGGCUUCUACUGGAUUUAUUUACCCCCUUUUCUUUUCCUUCUCUCUCCACAUCUCGUUAUUUUGUCCUCCUGUUUCUUCUGUCUUCCAUUCAAGGCAUCCCUCCCCUUUUCCCCUUCUGCUGUCUUUGUCUCUCUUUUCCUUCAUCUUUUUCCCUCCCUCCCUUUGUUCUGAGCUCUCAUUUUCUUUCUGUGUCUCAUUUCCAUUCUGUCGCUGUCUCUCUCUCUAUGUUUUUUCUCCUCUCCUCUCCUGUGUCUUGUGUUUUUGUCCUCUGCAGCCGGCACCGCUAGACAAACAGGACAGUAAAUUUGCAUUGCAGCACAGAGUUCGCCAUCACAUUCUUCACUGCAAGUAGAUACAGGGGCGACCUAUUCUUGCUCGCACUGACGUUUCCUCCACCGCCUCUUCCUCCCUUUUUCACUUCCCUCUUCAUCUCAAGAGCUGCCGUCGACAGGCUGCACGCUUCAUUCUCUGAUGUGGCCAAGAAGAGAGAUGGAUGGCGAAAUAGCCUCUGAGACUGACAAUAGAAAUGAAGAAACAGAGGAUGAAAGAAGCAAAACAGAAAGCAAAGGGUUGUUCUGUGGCGGUGAUCACAGUCAUCUCUGCUCCUGUCUGGAUUUCCAUUUGCCUGCCUGCCCCUCCUAUGCUCCACUGUGUUUCUUCCCAUCUACCUCUCCACGGAGCCAGAUCUGGGUGAUACCGUCCUGCUCUAAGUUGGGGUUCCCACUGACGGCCAGUCUCUGCCCUCCGCCACCAGUCGACGCUCCUGGGUUACCAUUACCUUUCCCGUUUCCUGCGGAGGCUACACAGGGAACUCCGCCCUGAAGAUCUCCCCCCCCCCUUCCCUCUCCGCCUUUUGCUUGGCAAUAAAGAGUGACUUUAAUCACUAUCGCUCGUGUGUUCUGCAUUGUGGGUUCUACCAUUAGUUCGUACUACACGACAGUUGGUGCAAAUAAAUAUCGUUUUUUCUACUCCCUUUUUGCAAUUAAAACAGCGAUUCAAGCUCAUGAAAGCCUUAUAUUUGUGGUUCUAAACACGCAGCAGCAGUUGUUUGUUUGAAAUAAAUGAACUGGGUAGUUUGCAUGAGCAACAAUAGCAACCAAAGCUAAAAAGACAAACAGAGUUCCAUCUACAGCAACAUGAACUUAACUUUAGCAACAUAAAAUCCAAGAAAGACUUUUCUCCUUGUCGGAAAGAUAAGUGCCCUCUGCAGAGUAAAAAGCAUAAAUACCAUAGCAUUGAGGCGCCACAGACAGAGACAUAAUAAA